rnacentral:tRNA from 1 species
GCGUCGGUGGUGAUGAAGGGGUAGCAUCGCUGCCCGGAAAGCAGAAGGUGCGGGUUCGAGUCCCGCCUGGAGCA